UAGGGAAUCUUCGGCAAUGGGGGCAACCCUGACCGAGCAACGCCGCGUGAGUGAAGAAGGUUUUUCGGAUCGUAAAGCUCUGUUGUAAGAGAAGAAUGUGUGUGAGAGUGGAAAGUUCACACAGUGACGGUAACUUACCAGAAAGGGACGGCUAACUACGUGCCAGCAGCCGCGGUAAUACGUAGGUCCCGAGCGUUGUCCGGAUUUAUUGGGUUUAAAGGGAGCGUAGGCCGCCCCUUAAGCGUGUUGUGAAAUGCCGCGGCUCAACCGUGGCACUGCAGCGCGAACUGGGGGCUUGAGUGCACGCAACGCAGGCGGAAUUCGUGGUGUAGCGGUGAAAUGCUUAGAUAUCACGAAGAACUCCGAUUGCGAAGGCAGCUUGCGGGAGUGCGACUGACGCUGAAGCUCGAAGGUGCGGGUAUCGAAC
rnacentral:rRNA from 1 species